rnacentral:lncRNA from 1 species
AAAAAAACAUAAGGCUUCUGUUUAAGAAUUGCUUAAGAUGUUCUUCUGAUCCUGAGUUCCAGCAGAACAGCUGAUGGCAACCAGUUUGAAGACCCCAACAGAGGCACUGAGUCGGCAGUACUAUGAGAACACAGUUUCUUCCUCUCCCUGUCCCAUGACUUCACGCUGCACUCUUCAACCAAUCAACGAUCUCCACACUUUGGCCCACUCCCAAACCCUUAAAAACCCUAGCCCCCAACUCUUCAGGGAGGCAGAUUUGAGGUUUCCUCCUAUCUCUGCAUUUGGCAGCCCUACAAUGAAACCUCUUUGUCUGCUGCAACCUGGUGUCUCAGCCUAUUGACUUGCUGUGUGCAUAGGGCAAGAAACCUAUUACGGUUACAAAAU